rnacentral:rRNA from 1 species
AUUGAACGCUGGCGGCAGGCCUAACACAUGCAAGUCGAACGAGUGGCGGACGGGUGAGUAAUGUCUGGGAAACUGCCUGAUGGAGGGGGAUAACUACUGGAAACGGUAGCUAAUACCGCAUACCAUCGGAUUUGCCCAGAUGGGAUUAGCUAGUAGGUGGGGUAACGGCGCACAUAGGCUACGAUCCCUAGCUGGUCUGAGAGGAUGACCAGCCACAAGGGAACGGAGACACGGGCCAUACGCCUACGGGAGGCAGCAGUGGGGAAUAGUGAACAAUGGGCGCAAGCCGGAUGCAGCCGUGCCGCGUGUAUGAAGAAGGCCUUCGGGUUGUAAAGUACUUUCAGCGGGGAGGCGUUACCCGCAGAAGAAGCACCGGCUAACUCCGUGCCAGCAGCCGCGGUAAUUC